rnacentral:rRNA from 1 species
UCAAAAACAUGUCCUAUUGAUUUAUAAUUUUAGGUUUGGCCUGCCCUCUGAGUUUAUUGAAUGGCUGCGGUAUAUUGACCGUGCUAAGGUAGCAUAAUCAUUAGUUUCUUAAUUAGAAGCUGGUAUGAAUGGUUGGAUGAAAAAAUAGCUAUUUUUAAUUAAAUUAUUUAGAAUUUUAUUUUUUAGUAAAAAAGCUAAAAUAUUUUUAAAAGACGAGAAGACCCUAUAGAGUUUAAUAUAAUUUUAUUUUAAUAUUUUAUUUGGAAUUUAAUUUUUUAAUUUAAAAUUUUAUUUGAUUGGGGUGAUUAAAAAAUAAAUAGAACUUUUUUUUAUUGUUUACAUUUAUUUAUGAUUUGUUGAUCCAUUAUUUAUGAUUAUAAGAUAAAAUUACCUUAGGGAUAACAGCGUAAUUUUUUUUGAGAGUUCUUAUCGAAAAAAAGGAUUGCGACCUCGAUGUUGGAUUAAAAUUAAUUAUUGGUGUAGAAGCUAGUUAAUAUUAGGUCUGUUCGACCUUUAAAAUUUUACAUGAUCUGA